GACGAACGCUGGCGGGCGUGCUUUAACACAUGCAAGUCGAACGGGUGACGAGGAGCUUGCUCCCUCUGAUCAGUGGCGAACGGGUGAGUAAACACGUGAGCAACCUGCCCCAGACUCUGGGAUAACAGUUGGAAACAGCUGCUAAUACCGGAUACGAGACGGAGAGGCAUCUCUACCGUCUGGAAAGUUUUUCGGUCUGGGAUGGACUCGCGGCCUAUCAGCUAGUUGGUGAGGUAAUGGCUCACCAAGGCGACGACGGGUAGCCGGCCUGAGAGGGCGACCGGCCACACUGGGACUGAGACACGGCCCAGACUCCUACGGGAGGCAGCAGUGGGGAAUAUUGCACAAUGGGCGAAAGCCUGAUGCAGCGGCGCCGCGUGAGGGAUGACGGCCUUCGGGUUGUAAACCUCUUUCAGCAGGGAAGAAGCGAAAGUGACGGUACCUGCAGAAGAAGCACCGGCUAACUACGUG
rnacentral:rRNA from 1 species